UACGUAGGGAGCAAGCGUUGUCCGGAAUCACUGGGCGUAAAGAGCACGUAGGCGGCUAUUUAAGUCAGAUGUGAAAACCAAGGGCUCAACCCGUGGAUUGCAUUUGAAACUGGAUGGCUUGAGGACAGGAGAGGUAAGUGGAAUUCCUAGUGUAGCGGUGAAAUGCGUAGAUAUUAGGAGGAACACCAGUGGCGAAGGCGACUUACUGGCCUGUAACUGACGCUGAGGUGCGAAAGCGUGGGGAGCGAAC
rnacentral:rRNA from 1 species